CCUACGGGAGGCUGCAGUGGGGAAUAUUGGACAAUGGGGGGAACCCUGAUCCAGCCAUGCCGCGUGUGUGAAGAAGGCCCUCGGGUUGUAAAGCACUUUCAGUGAGGAAGAACGCCUGGUGGUUAAUACCCAUCAGGAAAGACAUCACUCACAGAAGAAGCACCGGCUAACUCCGUGCCAGCAGCCGCGGUAAUACGGAGGGUGCGAGCGUUAAUCGGAAUUACUGGGCGUAAAGCGCGCGUAGGUGGCUGGAUAAGCCGGUUGGGAAAGCCCCGGGCUCAACCUGGGAACGGCAUCCGGAACUGUCAAGCUAGAGUGCAGGAGAGGAAGGUAGAAUUCCCGGUGUAGCGGUGAAAUGCGUAGAGAUCGGGAGGAAUACCAGUGGCGAAGGCGGCCUUCUGGACUGACACUGACACUGAGGUGCGAAAGCGUGGGUAGCAAACAGGAUUAGAUACCCUUGUAGUC
rnacentral:rRNA from 1 species